CCUACGGGAGGCUGCAGUGGGGAAUAUUGGGCAAUGGGCGCAAGCCUGACCCAGCAACGCCGCGUGAAGGAAGAAGGCUUUCGGGUUGUAAACCUCUUUUGUCAGGGACGAAGCAAGUGACGGUACCUGACGAAUAAGCCACGGCUAACUACGUUCCAGCAGCCGCGGUAAUACGUAGGUGGCAAGCGAUAUCCGGAGUUAUUGGGUGUAAAGGGCGUGUAGGCGGGAAUGCAAGUCAGAUGUGAAAACUAUGGGCUCAACCCAUAGCCUGCAUUUGAAACUGUAUUUCUUGAUGGCUGGAGAGGCAAUCGGAAUGCCGUGUGUAGCGGUGAAAUGCGUAGAUAUACGGAGGAACACCAGUGGCGAAGGCGGAUUGCUGGACAGUAACUGACGCUGAGGCGCGAAAGCGUGGGGAGCAAACAGGAUUAGAUACCCGGGUAGUC
rnacentral:rRNA from 1 species